GUGUGUGUGUGUGUGUGUAUUUUAAUUUAUGCUGUCAUUUCCUCAUCUCUCUAAUUCAACCUUUUUAACUUUGGUCACAUGAAAUGUUUACAACCUUUCUGUUCCCUGCAUUGGUUUCAUAUUCAGAUUAUAUGGGAGUUUAUAAUUUCUAUCUCAUAGUCAUAGGUGGCAGGCUUCUUCAUGGUUUGGGAUUGUAGAAAAUUAUGUCUUUCUUUGAGGCCUAGUUACAAAAAAUUCAAAUGUUUGUGUAUUUUUCCGAUCUGAUCCAAACUUUUAAUCUUGGCACGAUAGGUCAGAUUUCUUAAGGUUGUUAAAAUUUUAUCCUUUUUUUGUCAACUGAAUGUUGAACUCCAUUUUUUGAC
rnacentral:misc_RNA from 1 species